rnacentral:sRNA from 1 species
UGCUUCUUAGCCUCCUGACUUAUUGGU